UCGGAUCUGGAUUUGGCAAAGCGGAUAGCCCGACCCAUUAAAUAUUUCUGAAUUGGAUCAAUUGAUGUAAAUCAUAUUCAAAAUAGUAAAAUUUCCAUAGCAAAAAAGCACGCGGAGAAGAAAACCUCAGACCAAGUUUCUUUCCGCCGUCCGUUGCUGGAAACAACAUGGCAAUUUUCAUUAUAACUCUUAUCAGUAAAUGCUUGUAUACAUCUGGAAAUGUCUCUAUGAUGGGUAUCAAACUAGGUCGGGGCUCUUGAUUUGAACCUAAUUUAUUUAGUAAUCUGUUGAUUUUAUUGUUGUAUUUGUCUGUGUUAAUCUAUACUUUUGCUUUUAGUGAUCAGUGAAUUGUCUGAAUCUUACGGAUUGAUAGAUGCAUGUUAACUGAAGUAAGUGAAUGCACAGUUGCAGAUGAAGAAUCUUUAGGUUUAACUUAUUUGAUUUUUAUUUUUUGGGGUGGGAGGACAAUGAAUUUGAAAUAUGUUGAACUUAGCAACAAAAAGCAAAAUCUCAAGUUGAUGUUCAAUUGCAGUUGGAAUAUAGAAUUGUGAUUUAUAUGACCAAUUUUGAUGUAGCAUAGAAUUUAUAUAUCCGCAUUGCUAUAAUUUAUCUUUAACAUGCUUUAAACUUUGCAAGGCAUUGUUAUUGGGUUUGAUUCGUUUGACUAUGCUUGUUCAUUUUAUAGUAGCAUGCAUAUAAGAGCUGUUCUCAAUUCUCAAUAUUGGGGGUAAUAAUAUUUUCCAAGUUUGUUUAAUUAUCAAUACUUGUGGAAUAUAUUUUGGAUACUGGGAGUGGGAUCAAGAAGCAUGUGUUGAUGAUUUGUUUUGCAACGACCUAUGUGUUUUCAAAGACAUGUAUAACUGUAUAUGCUAUCAUGUGAUUCAUGUUAUGGACUUGUGGUUAAUGUGGAUAAAUUUGAUCGUAAAUUCUUUCUCAGUCUUUUUUUGGUUUGUUUUACAGUGGUACAGUUAGAUAUAUGAAUACUUAAGUAUUAUAACAAUUUCUUAGUGUUCUGGAAAAAAAAAUGCUACCUUUUCAAUGGAAGAGACAAACAUGUUUUUCAUAUUGAAAGAAGAAAAAUAGAAGAUAGAAAAUGCGACCAAAUAUGUUUGCAUGUAUAGACUAAUGUGCAUCUCCUGUUUGCAUUGUCAAAUGCCUAGAUCAAUUAUCUAUAUUAACUAAAAUAGCAGCAAUUGUUGCUAAUCUUUCAUUUUCUUUUGUUAGGUACGGUUACAGCCUGAUCCAUUCCUCAAUGAACUCACCAAUAUGUUUGAGCAGACUACAGAAAAGGGCUCUGUGUGGGUUACUUUGAAGCACUGUGAGUGUUCAUCUUUCAAUGCACGUUCUUUUUUGUUUUUACCUUUUUAUACGUUUUCGUAGACAGAUUUUUAACUACUGCAGCUGUUGGAAAUAAAGAGUAGUCUGUUUCUUCCUUUGACUAUCUCCAACUUCUGACAAGUCCAAGGUUAAGAGGAAUAAGAUGAAGACGGCUGGGAAAAGAUUGAAUAUAAGUGCCUCAUUCGAGCUACAUAUGGAAAGAAACGAUUUCAACAAUGGUUGGUCCAAAAGAUCACCAACGAUUCCAGUCGAGUUAUGCAACUAUCUUGAAAGCCCGGAUGACUACUUUGAAAAAGAGGGAGAGGAAGGACAAGCGAAAGGCAGCAGAUUCUGAUAAAAAGCAGGACCAGAAGAUGCAAUCAAAACCCUCUAACUAAACUAGAUUGCUUGAAUGAGUUUCUUUCAAUUGUUCUUUUUUAUCGUUUAUAUUGUAUGAAUACAUCUCGAGUCAUUUGAUAUUAAGAAUUCUUAAUAUCAUUUUAAUGUGUGAACUGUGAAGUGAUAUUUGUGCUCUAUAUUUUGUACAGUUAGGUCAUCACAUUUUGUUCAUGUUGUUUUCAUGCGCUAGUUUGUAUUAGUUUAUUUAUUUAUUGAAUGAGAAUUCUUCUUAUACAA